AGUAAAGUGGCUGAGUUAUAGGCGAUAAAUUGUAAAUUUAUUUACAAAAAUUAAAUUUUUCUUUACUAU
rnacentral:tRNA from 1 species